UACGGAGGGUGCGAGCGUUAUCCGGAUUUAUUGGGUUUAAAGGGUGCGUAGGCGGGCUUUUAAGUCAGCGGUAAAAAUUCGGGGCUCAACCCCGUCCGGCCGUUGAAACUGGGGGUCUUGAGUGGGCGAGAAGAAGGCGGAAUGCGUGGUGUAGCGGUGAAAUGCAUAGAUAUCACGCAGAACCCCGAUUGCGAAGGCAGCCUUCCGGCGCCCUACUGACGCUGAGGCACGAAAGUGCGGGGAUCGAACAGG
rnacentral:rRNA from 1 species